rnacentral:piRNA from 1 species
UGGGAUAGGAACAUUAAAAAGCGACAAAAC